UUGUAAUAAAAGAGAGAAAAUAACAGUUAAUUGUUAUUGUAAUUAUAGAGAGAAGUUAAUAUGCAAGUAAUUGUUUACUAAACUGGAGAGAAAAAAAUCAAAAGAGAGAAACAGAAGAAGAAAGAAGAGAAGAGGCGAAAACAAAGGUGAAAGAAAAGAAAGAAAGAAUAUUUCUGCUGGAAAUCAGUUGCUGCCGGAAAAGAAGAAGAAGAACAAAGAAGACUUAAUACCUGUAAAAGGAAAAGAAAGAAGAAAGAAGAGAGUCUUACUGCCGGAAAAAACGCCGGAAAAACAGAGGCUUACUGCCGGAAAAAGAAAGAAGAGAAGCUUACUGCCGGAAAAGACGCCGGAAAAACAGAAGCUUACUGCCGGAAAAAGAAAGAGAAAAGAAAGAAGAAGAAAAGAAGAAAGAAAGAAGAAAGAAGAACAAAGAGGUACCUCGGAGUCGAGAAAACCCUAACUUUUAUUUAAGUCUUUUUUUUUUAUUUUAAAAGUGACGCCUCUGUCGCUACCUCGCCGGCGCUACUUCGCCUCGUCGGCGCUUUUUAAAACCGCAUCGCAACAGACCAAAAAAAUGCGUAUGAGCCUCGCGUCGCUACUCGCUAUUAGCGACGUAGCGGUCACUAUUUACAACACUGCCUCAACAUAUGUUUCUUUUAAAAAGAUAUAAUGAUGGACUCGUUAUGAGGGUAUUUUUGUAAACAAACAAUUCUUUUAGAGAUUGUGCAAUGCUUUAAUAUAUCAAACCAAACGAUGGAUAGGAAAUAUGUCAGCAUAACCAAUGCCAACAUAAUUAAUACCAGCAUUACUAAUACACCUUAUUCAUCAUUAUUCUUAUGCACCCUAUCAAACGACCCCUAUGGAUUUUAUAGUCUGAAUAAGUGACCUUAUCUUUUAUUUUAUUUUUUGGUUCUCUUUAUUCGUUUUGGCCCAGAGUAAUACUAGCAGUUACAAGAAUUUCCUGCAAAUAACUGGCACAACAUGAAGAACUUUGCUUGUCUGAAUCUAAUAUUCUUUUCAAGUUGUAGACAUUGAAGGAGAAGUCUUUCAUGGGGAUGCUGCACAGUCCAAGAAACAGGCAGAAGAAGCCAAGGCAAAUUCUUUUGUACCAGUGAUCAUUCAACUAUUUCCUCGGACUUGGAAGGUGAAAUUUUUCAAAACUGAACCUUGCAUGGAUUCAGUGUCCAUUUCUGCUAGUCAAGAAAAGUUCAGAGAUGAAGAGGAGAUGGCUCACUCUAAACACAUCUCUCCACUGUCCAUAAGUGCUGAAAAUGUUAAUGCUCCAAUUUCACGGGACGUGUAAGAGCUCAUUGUAAAUGAGAAAUCACAUUCUUCACCUGGAUCAUUGUGCCAUUUGCCUAGAUAAACUAUAUAUCAUCAGAUGCGAUGACACCAUCCAAUUCAUCUACUAUCUCUAAUGCAAAUUCUAGUGCGACGAAGAUUGCAGAAACUAAAAGGUACUUCCUUUGUGACAGGGUCAGAGUGCACAGGUCCGUUCCGGAUGAGGUACUAUUGUGCUUCCUAUUAGUGAAGAUAAGUGAGUUGAUGUGAACUUGGAGUUCCCCAAUGAGAAGUUUAGCUAAUUAUGUACUACAAUAGAGGCAUGUUACUUAUGUUUAUCGUCCCCUUGAACAGAGGCUAAACUGAAUCAAGGAUGAUUAUAGCAACCAUCUUUCUAAAGCAACUUCCAUUUUAUUUUCUGAAACUUAAAAAGUGUUUUGUGGAAGUUAAGUGGUAUUACUAAUUUGAUCUUUCUGUCAAUGGCAGGCUUGACUGAGCAAAUGCCAUAAAAGAGGAAGAAGCGAACAUCUCUUUUAUGAGAUCUUUCGGAAGCCACUUUAGCAGCUAGUUGAAUUGAAUCAACUAUGAGAUCUUUAGACUCUUUCAGUGCAGCGAACAUCACUUUAGGCUCUAACAGCCUCUAUUCAGGUAGGAAAGGACAAUCAAAUGAAUAGAGGCUGCUAAGAUUUGUACGGAGCAGGUAGCUAGAUUUCAACGAGAGAGUAGCCUCUAACAGCCUCUC